rnacentral:lncRNA from 1 species
GGUGACUCCACAAUUACUUUUCCAGGGGUAAAACAAGCUAAAUGUUUUUCAGGAAAUCUGGAAGUCCGGGGGGGGGGGGCGGCUUNNNNNNNNNNGGGGGGGGUUCCUCCCCCUUCCUCCUCUGAGCAAUUUCUCCUUGAAUAUUUCAGUCUUCUCAUCCUUCAAGGGUUUUAAGUAAACUUCCUCAUGCUGGCAUCGUGGCAGUAUAAAAAGCAAACCUAAUUAUUACAGAAUUUGUAGAAAACAGGGCCUGCAAUCCAAUAAGAGCUCCUCUGGGAGCCGAGCCCUGGCUGUGGCUGGCUGCAGCAGCUCCCUGCGGGGGGAAGCGAUGGGGUGCGGGAGGGUGCCUGCAGUCCCCUUCCCAUCCCCACUAACCCAGGAGAAAAGGCCUUCGGGGUGGGAUCCUCACCCCCAGAGAGGAAAAUAAAAUGUGAGGAUCAGGCUGAGGCGGGAUGCACUCAGCGGAGUGAACCCUAAAGCUUUUUGGGGCCAACCCCACAGCGUUUUGGGGCUGGGUGCCGACCUCCUCCCCGCCUCAGACCACAGCCCCGGGUAGCCUUGGCGAACCUGAUCCGGCGCUGUUCUGUCACCUGCAACCACUUAAAUAAUUUUAUUUUAUUUUUUUUUUACCCAGUUUGGAGUCAGGAAAAAAAAAAAAAGGGGGAAAGAAUUGGGGUCAACGCGAAGCGGCCGUAUUUCAGCCGUCCUCUGAGAGUUUGUCUGCGCGCCGUGGGUGUUCUCCUUGCGAGCGCCUAAGCGGGCGACGUUUUCCCUUAGUAGGGCAGGAUCCGCGCUGCGGUCCUCCAUAAAAGGGCCAUAAAAGGGCCAUAAAGGGGCCAUAAAAGGGCAGUGCUUGCGGCGCGACCCCCAGGGCCUCCCAGCCCCUCCGGCCGAGUCCUGCUGCAGCGCUUUGAGCCCCGCCAUCCUCACCCGAGUGCCUCCUCGGCUCCUUCUCCUCUCGUGCCUUUUGUUUCGUCUCCCUCCUCCUCCUCCUCCUCCUCUCUGGAGGCUACAGGGAGAGAGGCCAGAGAGUCUCCAGGAAUGUUCUUGCUUUCCUUAUUAUUAUUAUUAUUAUUAUUAUUUUUUUCUUCUUCUUCUCUCUCUCUUGGCCUGAUUUGAUCCCUUCUUUUCCAUAAUUUGCGUGGUGCCUGCCCA